CGGCGCCCGGCGGCCGGGCGGACGGCGCCCACAAGGUGGCAGUGCCGCGCUGUUGGUGUCCUGGCCGGGUUCCGUGCGGGGCGCGCGGGGAGACCGGAGCCCGCGCAUCCCUCCUGCAAAAGUUUUAAUGAACAUAGACCCACCCGGGCCUGGGGCGCUCCCAGGCCUGCUGGCCGCGCCGCUUCGAUUUCGGAGUUCCUCUGGGAGAGCUGUACGCUUCGAUGGCGUCUCUCUUUGUCCUCGACUCAGAGAAUCAGGAUUCGGAGCCUGUAAUUGAAGCAGGAGUCCGGCCAUGGCUGCGGAGAUGCCAUCACCCUAAGGAAAGAGGGAGGCAUCUUCUGAGGAAUCGCCUUGAGAACCCGAGGCACGUCUGUUCAUACCUUCAAUCCUGACAAGCUGUUUUUGAAGGCGAAUAUGAUGUUUGGAACCAUCUAGAAGUCAUUUGGAGUCCAGUGAAAAAGCCAGCGAUCAAGGGGAGAAUAAAGGUCUGAGUGAAAAGGUAGCAGCCAAACAAAGGAGCGUGGAAGGGGAAGAGUUCCAACAGGAGUCGGACAAGAUCACUUCAGGCAGAAGGUCAAGUUCUCGGUGAUGUCUCCUUCCUCUGCGGUAGCAGCUGUCUCCAGGCUUCAUGCGAACAGGCUCAGUAUGACCAGCGGGGACAAUCCACACGUGGUCCAAAGCCGGGCCCUGACUGCCUGUGGGAGUGUUAUGACAUGAAGCUCAUCCUUACCACCACUUUAAGAAAAAAAAUAGAGAGACAGACAAAAUAUUUUCAGAUCUGAGCAGGCACGUGGGGCCAGCUAGUUAACAGGAGAAAGAAAACGGAACAACAAUGACAAAAAAAAGAAUUUGAUCUUGCUAGUAGUCAGUUACAAACACCUGAAUGGAUGAACACUGACGCUCCAGCCAGACUGAAUCAGCUUUAGAAGGGUGUUCUAGCAUCCUUUUUGUUAUUUUACUCUCCCUCCUUUUUCCCUUCUCUCUCUGCACUGCCCAAGGUCUGGGCUCUACUCCCGGUGUCCCAAAUGGACAUGGUUGGAUUCAUCAAGCCUCUUUCAAGGCCCUGUUUCUACCUUUGUAUUUGUAUAUAGGAUUUCUACUCCCUCAAAAAGCCUCCCCCCUCCAAACUGACUAAGCUCUGGGCCCUACAAAACAUGGGUGCUCUCUGGGGAGCUGACAGGCAUCCCCGGCCCCAACCUGGGGACCUGCGGGGGCUCCCUGCCGUCUUAAGUUUUUCACAUUCUUCCUGGUGGAGCAUCUAUAUGGCAGACCUUCCUCAUGCUGACGACAAUGGCUUCUCACUUCGUGACUUGAGUUUUUUAUGCUAAAAUGCUCCCUCCCUUCCCAGGAGUCAGAGGCCCGAGAAGAUAAGUGACUUAAAGGAAAGUCUACCUCUUGAGUGAGGCAUUUUUGCUUUCGCUUACGGAUGAGAAAGAGGAUGCUCAAAGCGCCGAGGGAGUCAUUUAUCUAAGAUCACAGAGCUGGUUAGAAACCCAGUCAGAACUGGAACCCAGGUCCUCAACUCCUAAACUGCUGUUUCUUGUUCUAUUCCAUAUUUCUAAUCCAUCAGAUGCAUUCAUUUGAAGAAAGAAAUAAGUUAGGUUUUUCUGAUCCGAGCGAGUCAAGAAGCACAUGGGUCUUUUGAGUCACCGAGACCUCAUGCUCCCAGCAUUUUCAGUAAAGACGUAACUUUUGAGGCUGCGUUCUCUCCUUUCAUUUUUUUUACACUAAUGGGUGUUUCAGUAGGAAUGGGAUUCCUACAUUUCAGAUUCUAAUGUGCUUACUCCACUUAACGAGGUUUGGCUUAAUUAUUAAGAGUGCUGUGAGGCAUGAGGCCAGAGCAGUCCCAACGUGGCUACAUCCUGUGCGUGUGGAUAUCUGUGCUCGUGGCAGGAUGGAGAGGCCAGGGAGGCCAAGAGGUGGGGGGCUGAGAGGCAGGACCUCCUUGUCCCCCAUCUGUGACAUGGUGGGCUUCCAGGUGAGGAUACAGUGGGGUGUGCAGUGCAGAGGUGACAAGGAAGGGACACUAUUAGUUUGGUAGGGUUGCUGUAACAAACUACUACAAACAAAUGACUUAAACAACAGAAAUUUACUGUCUCACAGUUCUGGAAAUUAGAAUUCUGACACUGAGAUGCCGGGAUGGCCAAGCUCCCUCUGAAGGCCCUGGGGAAGAAUCGGUCCCAUGCCUCUCUGUUAGCUUCAAGUAGUUCCUUGGAUUGUGACAGCACAGCUCCAGUCUUCACGUGAUGUCCUCUGGUGUGUGUGUGUCUAUGUCCAAGUCACCUCUUUUAAUAAGGACAUAAGUCAUAUUGGAUUAGGGGGCCACUGUACUUCAGUAUGACCUCAUCUUAACUAGUUGUAUCUGCAAUGACCCUAUUUCCAAAUACAGCCACAUUGUGAGAUUAGGGCUUUAACAGGUGAAUUCUGGGGGACACGUUUUAACCCAUAAUGGCCCACCCUCUGGUCCCCCCAAUUUACGUCCUUCUCACAUGCAAAAUACAUUCAUCUUAUCUCAACAGCCCCGAAAUUCUUAACUUAUUCCAGCAUCAACGCUAAGUCCUAAACCUCAUCUAAAUAAGGUAUGGGUGAAAGUCGGAGUAUGAUUCACUCUGGGGCAAAAUUCCUCUCUGUAUGAGAACCUAUGAAACCAGACCACAAGUUAUCUGCUUCCAAAACAUGAUGGUGGGACAGUCAAAGGACAGACCUUACCAUUCCAAAAGGGAGAAAUCAGAAGGAAAAAGGGUCAUGUGGCCCAAGAAAGCCUGAAACCUAACAGUAAGUUCCAUUAGAUUUAAGGCUUGAGAAUAAUCCUCUUUGGCUCAGUGUUUUGUCCUUUGAGUCCACCCACAUCAUGAAGGGUGAUCUGCUUUUCUCUCUGCUUUUCUCAAAGUCCACUGAUUUAAAUGUUAAUCACAUCUAAAAAAAAAAAAAGUGCUUUCACAGCAACA